AGGGUGUAAACGCUGCAGACUUGGUGUUGGAAGUCCUUUGGGGGCAUUCAGUGCCGGAGAGAAGUUGUUAAGUCUGCUACUUGGGGAGUACGUCCGCAAGGAUGAAACUUAAAGGAAUUGGCGGGGGAGCACCGCAACGGGAGGAGCGUGCGGUUUAAUUGGAUUCAACACCGUAAAACUCUCCAGGGAAGACUGUUACAUGAAAGCCGAGAUGAAGACUCUGCUAGAUUUUCAGAGAGGUGGUGCAUGGCGUCAGUGACU
rnacentral:rRNA from 1 species